AGUGAAGCGGAAGCCAUUACUCUCUGGAGUCGAUUGCCCCGAGACACAUGGGCCAAGGAGGGGUCAGCGGCGAAUUCUUUCGGCCUGUUGGGGACCCCUCGUGUCCCCACGCCAGACUGGACCUCCCGUAUGAACUUCUCUUCGCAUCGGCGGCGGCUUCCGUCACCUCCGCUCCCCCGAUCCUAUUCCCAGUCGUAUGCCAGCUUGGAGAGUCACGUGAGAGCAAGAGAGUAGCUUUCUGGUUGUCCUGGUGCCCUGCUCAGGCAAACUGACUGCCAUUCUCUGAGGAUGGCAGCUCUGUCCCCCACAUUUGCCACGUCCACCCAGGAUUCCACCUGUCUCCAGGACUCAGAAUUUCCUGUUUCUUCAAAAGACCAUUCCUGUCCCCAGAAUUUGGACCUGUUCGUGUGCAGUGGUCUGGAGCCUCACACACCCAGUGUUGGUUCCCAGGAAUCGGUGACUUUCCAAGAUGUCGCUGUGGACUUUACCGAGAAGGAGUGGCCCUUGCUGGAUUCUUCUCAGAGAAAACUGUACAAAGAUGUAAUGCUGGAGAACUACAGCAACCUCACUUCACUGGAAAUUUUGGCACCACCAUUUUGCUGCUCCUAAGUCAGACUUGUCCACCCUCAGAACACUGAAGACCCAAGUGUUGAGCCCAGGCUACUGGAAGGGGUUGUCCUCUGCAUGGCCCUCCCUCAACCUGUGUCUUUCCCGUGAGUGUAGGGUAUCAGGUCGGCAAACCCAGCCUCAUCUCACACUUGGAGCAGGAGGAGGAGCCGAGGACAGAGGAGAGGGGCGCUCACCAGGGCGCUUGUGCAGAUUGGGAGACUCCAUCUAAAACCAAGUGGUCACUUCUUAUGGAAGAUAUUUUUGGGAAGGAAACGCCCAGUGGUGUGACGAUGGAAAGAGCCGGUCUUGGAGAGAAGUCCACUGAAUACGCUCACUUGUUCGAAGUCUUUGGCAUGGACCCUCAUCUCACUCAGCCAAUGGGAAGGCACGCUGGCAAGAGGCCCUAUCACCGCCGCGACUAUGGGGUAGCGUUCAAGGGCAGGCCGCACCUCACUCAGCACAUGAGCAUGUACGACGGGAGAAAAAUGCAUGAAUGUCAUCAGUGCCAAAAAGCCUUCACCACGAGCGCGUCCCUCACACGGCACAGGAGAAUCCACACCGGGGAGAAGCCUUACGAGUGCAGCGACUGCGGGAAAGCCUUCAACGACCCUUCAGCCCUUAGGAGCCACGCAAGAACUCACCUCAAAGAGAAGCCCUUUGACUGCAGUCAGUGUGGAAAUGCAUUCCGGACCCUCUCGGCCCUGAAAAUCCACAUGCGAGUUCACACUGGCGAGAGGCCUUACAAGUGUGAUCAGUGCGGGAAGGCUUACGGCCGGAGCUGCCACCUCAUCGCACACAAGAGAACGCACACCGGAGAGAGGCCCUACGAGUGUCACGACUGUGGGAAAGCUUUCCAGCACCCCUCCCACCUCAAAGAGCACGUGAGGAAUCACACGGGGGAGAAGCCCUACGCGUGCACGCAGUGCGGCAAAGCCUUCCGCUGGAAGUCCAACUUUAAUUUGCACAAGAAGAACCACAUGGUGGAGAAGACCUACGAAUGUAAAGAAUGCGGGAAAUCCUUUGGCGAUCUCGUGUCCCGGAGGAAACACAUGAGGAUUCACAUCGUCAAGAAACCCGUGGAAUGUCGGCAGUGCGGGAAGACCUUCCGAAACCAGUCCAUCCUUAAGACUCACAUGAACUCUCACACUGGAGAGAAACCAUACGGGUGCGAUCUCUGCGGGAAAGCUUUCAGCGCGAGUUCAAACCUCACCGCACACAGGAAGAUACACACGCAAGAGAGACGCUACGAAUGCGCCGCCUGCGGGAAAGUCUUCGGUGACUAUUUAUCCCGGCGGAGGCACAUGAGCGUUCACCUUGUAAAGAAACGAGUUGAGUGUAGGCAGUGUGGCAAGGCCUUCAGGAACCAGUCAACGCUGAAGACGCACAUGCGAAGCCACACGGGGGAGAAACCGUACGAAUGCGAUCACUGUGGGAAGGCCUUCAGCAUAGGCUCCAACCUGAAUGUGCACAGGCGGAUCCACACCGGGGAGAAGCCCUACGAAUGCCUUGUCUGCGGGAAAGCCUUCAGCGACCACUCAUCCCUCAGGAGCCACGUGAAAACUCACCGGGGAGAGAAGCUCUUUGUGUCAUCCGUGUGGAAAAGGCUCCAGUGAGCGCGCCUGCUUUAGAGACACAGGAUGAUUCAGACCGGAAACAGACCUCGUGGGUGUAAGAGGAAGCCUCUGUGAGCUCGCACCUUACUGGGUGCAAAAGAAUCCACGGAACUUGGGAGAAGUCCAGUUCCUGUAAAAACUGGGAAGACGAGGCGUUCUCAUCCCAUAGGAGGUUUGUGAGAACUCACGCCGGGGGUGAAAAUGUACGUCUGUAGCAUGGAGAAGCCUUCAGGGUACAUUCAGCUCUUAACAAACACAGGAGGACUUAAUGGCAGCUUGGCAUUUAAUGUCAAAAUCCAAGCCGUGGCAUUUAAUGUCAAAAUGACUUCAGACCACUUCUAGCCUUCUGGGCCCAUGAGUAAUAAUGAGCACACUAGGGAGCAUCUCUGUAAACACAGUGGCUGGGGAAACCCUUCCUAGUCUCACUUGAUUCCUCAUGACGGAAAUCACACUAAAGAGAGAAAUCAGUGAAGUAAGGAACGUGGAAGGUCAUGAAUGGGCCGCAAACCACGGCCAGCUGCUUGUCUUUGUAUGGCUUGCCAGCUAACAAUAGUGGUUCCAUCUUUAAGGAAGAAGAAUGUUUGAUGGAGAAAAUUUGUGGCCAAUGAAGUCUGAAAUACUUCCUGUCAUCUGCCCCUUUCCAGAAAAACUUGGCCGACCCUUGGUCUACAGCACGGGUUCUCAGUCGGGCGACGAUUUGGCUGUCUAGGCGUCAUUUGGCAAUGUCUAGAGACAUUUUUGGUAGUUAGAAUGGGGGGAAGAUACUCCUGACUUGUAAUAAGAAGACAUCAGAGAUGCUGCUAAGUCGGCUCCAGCACACAGGAGCCCCCCACAACGAAGAGUUAGUGCCCCCAAACGUCACUGUUGCUGAGGUUGAAAAUAAUCAUGCAGUCAUUCCUCAAUUACUGCCUGCAGCAAUUCCUCCAUUUUUAUGAAUCUUGUGAGCACUUACGCUAGGAGAAAUUUCUUUUACAAAACUUUUAAAAUACAAUUAGUGCUGAUAAUUCCUAUGUGGAAAUGAUUCCAGCCAUGGUCCCCUCACUUGAGCAUGUGAAUAUUCUCACGGAGAGAAGCCCCAGCGAGAUUUUCCGGUGAAUACGGGAUUGCACUUACUCUUUCAUCACGGAAACAGACCCCCCGAGAGAAGCCCCAACGAGAUUUUCCGGUGAAUACGGGACUGCACGUACUCUCUCAUCAUGAAAACAGAGCCCCGUUCAUAAAUUUUUCAUCUUUAUUUUUAAGGUUAUACUCCUCUAAAUAACCCUUAAGCCUCAUCAAGAAAGGUUUGUUUAUAGUAUUUUUACUAUAGCUUCAUCCUUGAUAACGUCCUAAUUUCCUUCUGGACAACCUCCUUGACCAAUGGCAUAUUGAGAUCUAUGUGACAUGAGGAUAUUUCUCAGUACCACUUUGUUACUGGUACCUGAUGCACACGGAUUGCGACCAGAGCAUGAUGCCUCCAUCAAGUGGUAAUAUGUUUGCAGCCUGCUGUCCAGCCAAGAGUGACAGAUACUUCUAGUGACUUCCCCGGUAUCCACUCUCAUCUUCUUCCAAUAUCAAGAGAAUCCAGGUUCUGUCAGAUUAGUAAGGUGUGCUAAUCUAAAUUUUAAAAAAUCUCUUACAGGUUUUCUUGCAGCUGGUACCAUCCAUGUCUCACAGCCCUGGCCACUGACAGAUCAGCAGAUGUCACCACAUGGGCUUCUGAGAAAGCUCUUGAAUGGGGAUCGUUCUUAAACAUGAAUUCCUCCCUGUAUGUUUUGUUCUUUGCUUUACUUUUCACCUUGCAAAGAGAUCCAGUACCUAGUAUUGGAAGAUCCACCUUAACGACCGUGCAUAUGAAAACCACAGUCUAAGGAAGUGACUGCAGAAAGCUCACAGCGACCCUGGCCUCCCCUGUGGCCUCUUUGAGUGUCUGCAGCAGCCCUGGACUUCCAGACUUCUAUCACAUGAGAAAAAAUAAAACUGAUUAUUGGUUUAAGCUGC